UACGUAGGGUGCAAGCGUUGUCCGGAAUUAUUGGGCGUAAAGAGCUCGUAGGCGGUCUGUCGCGUCGGCUGUGAAAACCCGGAGCUCAACUCCGGGCCUGCAGUCGAUACGGGCAGACUGGAGUUCGGCAGGGGAGACUGGAAUUCCUGGUGUAGCGGUGAAAUGCGCAGAUAUCGGGAGGAACACCGGUGGCGAAGGCGGUUCUCUGGGCCUGUACUGACGCUGAGGAGCGAAAGCGUGGGGAGCGAACAGG
rnacentral:rRNA from 1 species